rnacentral:rRNA from 1 species
CAGCAGCCGCGGUAAUACGUAGGGUGCUAGCGUUGUUCGGAUUUACUGGGCGUAAAGCGCACGUAGGCGGACUUUUAAGUCAGGGGUGAAAUCCCGGGGCUCAACCCCGGAACUGCCUUUGAUACUGGAAGUCUUGAGUAUGGUAGAGGUGAGUGGAAUUCCGAGUGUAGAGGUGAAAUUCGUAGAUAUUCGGAGGAACACCAGUGGCGAAGGCGGCUCACUGGACCAUUACUGACGCUGAGGUGCGAAAGCGUGGGGAGCAAACAGGAUUAGAUACCCCUGUAGUCCCUGUCUCUUAUAC